rnacentral:lncRNA from 10 species
CAAGGUAGACCACGUGUGUGCCAGCCCAGCAGGCAAACUGCCCCGUAUGAGUUUGUCCAUCAACUGUGCGUGCAGAUCUUUACUCGCAUGCAUGACACAGGAAGCCCACGGGACACUUCCCCAGCACGCCCCGCUUCCUCUGCACUCCUGGAAGGAAGACCUGUUCUUGCUUCUUCCGUACUCUCAGGAUCUGGCACAGAACCCGACAAAGGGAAUAUUUAAUGAACUAUGGCGUAGGCCUGGCCCUGAACGACACCCUGGGGACCCAGCAGCAGCAAGGUGCAGCUUCUGCCCUCAGCAACCUCACGGUCUAAUGGACGCGGCACAGUGGGCAGGAAGUGACACCAAAGAGCAUCAGGAUUAGGAAGUCUGUUCGGAUUAGCAUGGAAUCAGGGUCUCCCUGCCCUGGGAAUCAUUGCUGGCCAUGGCAGUUGCUGAGACUGGGAGCUAAAAGGUGCAUCUGAGUUGGAGUCUUGUCAUGUUCCUUCAGGUGUGUGUUGGACCAAGCUGCCUACCAUGUGUACGCAUACUGCCCACACAUGUGGUUAGCACCCUGGAUGGUUCGAUUCCAUGUCAGCUUGGCUGUUGGUGGGAAGUGGAUGAGUGGUCCAUGGUGAGUUCACUCAUUUCAAAAUGGCAGCCUGUGUUUACUAAUGGAUCGAGGCCUCUUGGGUUUUUCUAAUUGACUGAGGCCAUUAUUUCUCUCUAGCACUCAAUUC